rnacentral:rRNA from 1 species
GGCGCACGGGUGCGUAACGCGUAUACAAUCUACCUUUUACAGGGGGAUAGCCUUUAGAAAUGAAGAUUAAUAUCCCAUAGUAUAAUUUAUUGGCAUCAUUAGAUUAUUAAAGUUUCGGCGGUAAAAGAUGAGUAUGCGUUCUAUUAGCUAGUGGGUGUGGUAACGGCACACCUAGGCAACGAUAGAUAGGGGCCCUGAGAGGGGGAUCCCCCACACUGGUACUGAGACACGGACCAG